UUACAUACACAUAUGAAUGAAGUGGCAUACAUGUCAACAUUGCUGAAGCAGGAUAAAAGAGAAAAUAUUCUCUGUGGCUGAAGAUGUUGGCAGCUGAGUCACCUAAUUCUUGUCAAUCACUCUUCCCACUAAAUCAUAUACUCAGCCUAUGGAGUCUCAAGGCCUACAGACAAACUCAUCAUCCAAUACACAGACAGCUUUGAAAUGAGAAUUGGCCAGACAGUAGGACGUCCUCUGAUGUCAUAAAACAAGAAGAAAUAUAAAAUACACAAGAAAAAGAGGCAAAGGAAUUUACG